CUGAAUAGGGCGCAUAAGUAACAGGUCGUAGACCCGAAACCAGGUGAUCUACCCAUGUCCAGGAUGAAGGUAAGGUAAUACUUACUGGAGGUCCGAACCCACGCACGUUGAAAAGUGCGGGGAUGAGGUGUGGGUAGCGGAGAAAUUCCAAUCGAACUUGGAGAUAGCUGGUUCUCUCCGAAAUAGCUUUAGGGCUAGCCUCGAGGUAAAGAGUCAUGGAGGUAGAGCACUGUUUGGACUAGGGGCCCUUCUCGGGUUACCGAAUUCAGAUAAACUCCGAAUGCCAUGUACUUAUACUCGGGAGUCAGACUGCGAGUGAUAAGAUCCGUAGUCGAAAGGGAAACAGCCCAGACCACCAGUUAAGGUCCCCAAAUAUAUGUUAAGUGGAAAAGGAUGUGGGGUUGCUUAGACAACCAGGAUGUUGGCUUAGAAGCAGCCACCAUUGAAAGAGUGCGUAAUAGCUCACUGGUCGAGUGACCCCGCGCCGAAAAUGUACCGGGGCUAAACAUAUUACCGAAACUGUGGAUGAACCUCAUUAGAGGUUCGUGGUAGGAGAGCGUUCUAAGGGCGGUGAAGUCAGACCGGAAGGACUGGUGGAGCGCUUAGAAGUGAGAAUGCCGGUAUGAGUAGCGAAAGAAGGGUGAGAAUCCCUUCCACCGAAUAUCUAAGGUUUCCUGAGGAAGGCUCGUCCGCUCAGGGUUAGUCGGGACCUAAGCCGAGGCCGAUAGGCGUAGGCGAUGGACAACAGGUAGAGAUUCCUGUACCAGUGCUAAUUGUUUAACCGAUGGGGUGACACAGAAGGAUAGGGAAUCGCACGAAUGGAAAUGUGCGUCCAAGCAGUGAGUGUGAGAAGUAGGCAAAUCCGCUUCUCGCGAAGCAUGAGCUGUGAUGGGGAAGGAAAUUAAGUACGGAAGUUCCUGAUUUCACGCUGUCAAGAAAAGCCUCUAGGAAGAGUAGUACUGCCCGUACCGCAAACCGACACAGGUAGAUGAGGAGAGAAUCCUAAGGUGAGCGAGAGAACUCUCGUUAAGGAACUCGGCAAAAUGACCCCGUAACUUCGGGAGAAGGGGUGCUCUAUUAGGGUGCAAGCCCGAGAGAGCCGCAGUGAAUAGGCCCAGGCGACUGUUUAGCAAAAACACAGGUCUCUGCAAAACCGUAAGGUGACGUAUAGGGGCUGACGCCUGCCCGGUGCUGGAAGGUUAAGAGGAGUGCUUAGCUUCGGCGAAGGUACGAAUUGAAGCCCCAGUAAACGGCGGCCGUAACUAUAACGGUCCUAAGGUAGCGAAAUUCCUUGUCGGGUAAGUUCCGACCCGCACGAAAGGCGCAACGAUCUGGGCACUGUCUCAACGAGAGACUCGGUGAAAUUAUAGUACCUGUGAAGAUGCAGGUUACCCGCGACAGGACGGAAAGACCCCGUGGAGCUUUACUGCAACCUGAUAUGGAAUGUUUGUACCGCUUGUACAGGAUAGGUAGGAGCCGAAGAGACGUGUGCGCUAGCAUACGAGGAGGCAAUGGUGGGAUACUACCCUGGCUGUAUGACCAUUCUAACCCGCCACGCUUAGCGCGUGGGGAGACAGUGUCAGGUGGGCAGUUUGACUGGGGCGGUCGCCUCCUAAAGAGUAACGGAGGCGCCCAAAGGUUCCCUCAGAAUGGAUGGAAAUCAUUCGCAGAGUGUAAAGGCACAAGGGAGCUUGACUGCGAGACUGACAAGUCGAGCAGGGACGAAAGUCGGGCUUAGUGAUCCGGUGGUUCCGCAUGGAAGGGCCAUCGCUCAACGGAUAAAAGCUACCCCGGGGAUAACAGGCUUAUCUCCCCCAAGAGUCCACAUCGACGGGGAGGUUUGGCACCUCGAUGUCGGCUCGUCGCAUCCUGGGGCUGUAGUCGGUCCCAAGGGUUGGGCUGUUCGCCCAUUAAAGCGGCACGCGAGCUGGGUUCAGAACGUCGUGAGACAGUUCGGUCCCUAUCCGUCGCGGGCGCAGGAAAUUUGAGAGGAGCUGUCCUUAGUACGAGAGGACCGGGAUGGACACACCGCUGGUGUACCAGUUGUUCCGCCAGGAGCAUCGCUGGGUAGCUAUGUGUGGCAGGGAUAAACGCUGAAAGCAUCUAAGCGUGAAGCCCCCCUCAAGAUGAGAUUUCCCAUUUCUUCGGAAAGUAAGAUCCCUGAAAGAUGAUCAGGUAGAUAGGUUUGGAGUGGAAGUGUAGCGAUACAUGGAGCGGACAAAUACUAAUCGAUCGAGGACUUAACCAAAA
rnacentral:rRNA from 1 species